AUGAACUUUUAUGCUGAGAAAGAGACUCCAUUCCUACCAAGGUUUAAAAUUCUUGAACUCCUGUCGCAGUUCAGGAAAACAAUUCAGUGGUGGGCUACAAAUAAGGAAGGACCUGGUAGUAAAAUUGAAAGAUUUCCCAGACCUUAUAAGCCUGAUUCAGAAGACAGCUCAAGGAAGGGAGAGAAAUUUAAGGAUAAGAAACCUUCCAUAUGUACUCUCUGUGAUCCAGAAUGUCAACCAGGACUCAUGGAUAGAUUAUUAUUAGAGCGGAAAUCUUUAUGGUCUGGGCGGCCAAGUUAUCCUUAUUUUGGUGUUGCUACAAAAAAAGAGCUGAGGUCCAAUGGUUAUCCCCUCCCAGUUUGGGAGAAUGUGGGCAUGCGUUUGCUUAACAAUUUUGAAGAGAAAUUUAGUGAAGAUAUCUGGGGUAAACUCGAAAGAAACGUUGCUUCAAAUAUGUCUCAAAGUGUUGUCGCAUUGGCUUCAUUCAGUGGAAAAACAAGGUGUUUUGCUUGCACAGGCAUAUUCAUAGACUGCAAUGGGUCCACUACAAGAGUUCUGACCUCGGCAAGUUUGGUUAGAACUUCUGACAAUGAAAACAAGGUUGCUGAUAACCUUAAGAUUGUAGUGUGCCUUCCAGACAAUCGUCAUACCAGAGGGACAUUGCAACAUUACAGUCUACAUUAUAACAUUGCCGUAGUCCACAUCAAGAAUUUCUGCUGUACUCAGACAACACAAAUCGAUAACCAGAUGCUAAUUAAACCUCAGAAGGAGGUAGUAGCUAUAGGGCGCGUCUACCAAUCAGGCAAUUUAAUGGCCACAAGUGGGAUCGUGAUUGACAAACCAAAGGCUCCAUACAUACCAGUGAAUAUAAUUAUAAAAGUCUUGAAGAAUUUUGAUGCACAAGGGACUCUUGCUAGAGACGAUGAUGAUAGCCCAAACAGAUGGCCCGUGCCCAAGCCAUUUUGGUGCUAUCCGGAGUGGCACGAGCUUGAGGAAGGAAUAGAUGUGGAAGAAGAACUUAAAUAUCUGCGGCAGCGGCAACAAUUCUAA
rnacentral:rRNA from 1 species